rnacentral:rRNA from 1 species
AUUGAACGCUGGCGGAAUGCUUUACACAUGCAAGUCGAACGGCAGCACGGGGCAACCUGGUGGCGAGUGGCGAACGGGUGAGUAAUAUAUCGGAACGUGCCCAAUCGUGGGGGAUAACGUAGCGAAAGUUACGCUAAUACCGCAUACGAUCUACGGAUGAAAGCGGGGGAUCGCAAGACCUCGCGCGAAUGGAGCGGCCGAUAUCAGAUUAGGUAGUUGGUGGGGUAAAGGCUCACCAAGCCAACGAUCUGUAGCUGGUCUGAGAGGACGACCAGCCACACUGGAACUGAGACACGGUCCAGACUCCUACGGGAGGCAGCAGUGGGGAAUUUUGGACAAUGGGCGCAAGCCUGAUCCAGCCAUUCCGCGUGCAGGAUGAAGGCCUUCGGUUGUAAACUGCUUUGUACGGAACGAAACGGUCUGCCUAUACGGCAGGCUAAUGACGGUACCGUAAGAAUAAGCACCGGCUAACUACGUGCCAGCAGCCGCGGUAAU